AGAGUUUGAUCCUGGCUCAGGAUGAACGCUGGCGGCGUGCUUGAUCAAUGCGAGUCGUGCGCGUACCCACUGAUGCUUGCAUCGGCGGGAUCACGAGCGGCGUGCGGGUGCGUAACACGUAGACAACCUACCCUGGUGCGGGGGAUAACCUGGGGAAACCUGGGCUAAUACCGCAUGAAGCUGCGAGACGUAUGUUUGGUAGUCGAAGCCUUAGGGUGCACGUGGAGGGGUCUGCGGUCUAUCAGCUCGUUGGUGGGGUAACGGCUCACCAAGGCGAUGACGGAUAGCCGGUCUGAGAGGAUGGUCGGCCACACUGGGACUUAGAGAUGGUCCAGAGCCCUACGGGGUUUAGCAUGAAGGGAUCUUGCGCAAUGGGCGGAAGCCUGACCCAGCGACGUCGCGUGGGGGACGAAGGCCUUCGGGUUGUAAACCCCUUUUCCGAGGGAAGAGAAAGGACGGUACCUCGGGAAUAAGCCCCGGCUAACUACGUGCCAGCAGCCGCGGUAAUACGUAGGGGGCAAGCGUUACCCGGAAUCACUGGGCGUAAAGUGCGCGUAGGCGGUUGGAUAAGUCUCUUGUGAAAGCUCCCGGCUCAACUGGGAGAGGUCAAGGGAUACUAUUUGACUAGAGGACAGCAGAGGUAAGCAGAAUUCCCGGUGUAGCGGUGGAAUGCGUAGAUAUCGGGAGGAACACCAGUGGCGAAAGCGGCUUACUGGGCUGUAUCUGACGCUGAGGCGCGAGAGCGUGGGGAGCAAACUGGAUUAGAUACCCAGGUAGUCCACGCCCUAAACGAUGGAUACUAGGUAUGGGGGGUAUUGACCCCCUCCGUGCCGUAGCUAACGCGUUAAGUAUCCCGCCUGGGGACUACGGCCGCAAGGCUAAAACUCAAAGGAAUUGACGGGGGCCCGCACAAGCGGUGGAGCGUGUGGUUUAAUUCGAUGCUAAGCGAAGUACCUUACCUGGGCUUGACAUGUUGGUAGUAGGAACCCGAAAGGGUAACGACCUCGGGGUAACUCGGGGAGCCUUCACAGGUGCUGCAUGGCUGUCGUCAGCUCGUG
rnacentral:rRNA from 1 species